UACGAAGGGGACUAGCGUUGUUCGGAAUCACUGGGCGUAAAGCGCACGUAGGCGGGUUCUUAAGUCAGGGGUGAAAUCCUGGAGCUCAACUCCAGAACUGCCUUUGAUACUGGGAAUCUCGAGUCCGGGAGAGGUGAGUGGAACUGCGAGUGUAGAGGUGAAAUUCGUAGAUAUUCGCAAGAACACCAGUGGCGAAGGCGGCUCACUGGCCCGGUACUGACGCUGAGGUGCGAAAGCGUGGGGAGCAAACAGG
rnacentral:rRNA from 1 species